UGUUCUUCGCUACAGUCAGCUCCUCGGAGCAUUCAGUAAGGCCCUCAGUCUUACAUUUUGGAGGCCCAGAGAGAUCACCAGGUAGGAAGCCCGGUUCAGCCGAGACUCUGUGGUGGGAUCCAGCAGGAAACUCUUGGGUACAGACCUCAGAAAACCUCCAGAUGUAAGUUUUUGGCCGGUUGCAACCAUUUGUUAAGUCAGGAGCGAGGUGGCUGAUGAGCCGGGAAGCCUCCCCUGACCCUGAGGUUCCUGACGAGGAACAAGGGAAGAUUUAGUUUCAGUUUGUCGUGGUGCCCAUUUGUCUCGUCUUUUAUGUGUUAAUGUUGUGUCUGUUGUGUGUCUGAUUUUACAUUCUUUUCAGUCCUCAUCAGGAGCAGAGUGAUGGCAGGAUCCUGCUCUACUGGGUCCACUCCACUUGACUGUUUUCUCACUAAUUUUAAAUUGGCUUUUUCUCCAGAACAAGAAGAUGAAUAUGGGGAAAAAUUUUCUCACAAAAGACUUUGCUCCCUGUGCCAACUAAUGGCCAGCCUUUGGGGUGGGAUGGCCAGCUAAAGGGACUUUUGACCCCAGUAUUUGCUGGAAGGUGUGGGGCAAACUCACCAGUCACCCUGGCCACCCAGACCAAUUUUCCUACAUAGACAUCUGGGUUCAGGCUUGUGAGGAGCCCCCAGCUUGGCUGCAGUGCUGUUCUCUUUGAACAGACACUCACAUUUUAGUCACUGCCCCGAAAGGACCCCAAGGACUUAAGACCCAGGCUCCCAAGCUGGUACUCUCACAGGAACCUGACCCCCUAGAUCCCUUGGGAGGGCCUCCGCCCUAUGUGGAACCCUCCACCUCCUCAGAUAAAUCCUGUUCUAGACCCCGAACUCCUUUCCUUCCACCGUCUGUUCAACCUUUGGCUCCUAUCUCUCUCUAUCCUCCUCUCCCUGAGGGGCCUCACUCCCCAGACUCAGUGACUUCUCCCCCACACAUGUGAGCUUGGGCUGCAUAUGGACCUAGCAAGAUCCCUGCAGGGGAAACUAGUUGGGCUCCUCUCUUGCCCCUUCGGGAGACUGAGCAAGAUCACUAUGUUUAUAUCCCUUUCACUACCAGUGACUUAUACAAUUGGAAACACCAGAAUCCUCCUUUUUCAGAGAAACCCCAAGCUCUAAUCUCUCUCCUGGAGUCUAUGUUUCAUACCCAUGAUCCUACUUGGGAUGACUGCCAACAACUCCUCCAGGCCCUUUUUACCUCAGAGGAGAGAGAAAGAAUCUGGAGACAAGCUGUAAGGUCAGUAUUAGGUGGAGCAGAGGUCCCCCUAGAUAAACAGCACUGGGCCCAUAUUGAGGCACAACUCCUGUCCACCCAACCCCAUUGGCAAGUUAAUUCCUCAGGUGGGAGAGAGGCUCUCCAGAACUAUCAUCAGCAUCUCCUGGCCAGCCUGAGGGGAGCUGCUCAGAAGCCUACCAAUUUGAGCAAGGUUUGAUUCCAAGACCCUGGAAUCUCAUUGGAAGGGACCGGUUCCUGUUGUCCUGUCAACUCCCUUGGCUGUGAAGGUGACUGGACACUCUGCCUGGAUACAUUGCAACCAUCUGAAGGCAGGACCCCCCGCAGACAUCACGAAGGACAAAUGGAAGAUUAUCAGCCAACCAAGCGACCGGAAGCUGAGACUGGGGUGGGUUGGAGAUAUUUCUCAUUCAUGAUAAUAUUCUCUGGAACAUUGGCGGUACUGCCCCCAAGAAAAUUGGACCACACCAGAAAUGUAUGGGUUCAAUUGACAAAAUCACUUAAUCUGUCUGAAUUGUCUGAAUAUAGAUAUAAAUUUCCAUUAUGUAUUAGAAAGCUGUCUCAUUCUGCUGUGUACCCCUUUAAGUUUAAUACAGCCCUAUACCUUGUUUAAGGAUAUCCCAGGGAAAAAUCUCACUUAUAACAAUAGUUACAAUUGGGGGCAUUCCUCAUGUCAUAAACCUAAAAAUGCUGUCAAAUUAUAUACACCCAGGAUAAUUAUGUCAAAUAAUACCCAAUGUGCUAUGUAUGUAAAUUGUACAACCAAGUGUCUGAAAAUAAAAUGAUCUAAAGGGA